AUUCUACUCCCUCCGUUGCACAAUACAUGCCUUCUAUUUGUCAAAAUAUAUAUGUAUCUAGACAUGUUUUAGUAUAUAGGUACAUCCAUUUGUGGACAAAUGGAAGUCAAGUAUUUUGGAACGGAGGGAGUACACA
rnacentral:pre_miRNA from 1 species